rnacentral:rRNA from 1 species
AUACGUAGCCGACCUGAGAGGGUGAUCGGCCACACUGGAACUGAGACACGGUCCAGACUCCUACGGGAGGCAGCAGUAGGGAAUCUUCCGCAAUGGGCGAAAGCCUGACGGAGCAACGCCGCGUGAGUGAUGAAGGGUUUCGGCUCGUAAAACUCUGUUAUUAGGGAAGAACAAACGUGUAAGUAACUGUGCACGUCUUGACGGUACCUAAUCAGAAAGCCACGGCUAACUACGUGCCAGCAGCCGCGGUAAUACGUAGGUGGCAAGCGUUAUCCGGAAUUAUUGGGCGUAAAGCGCGCGUAGGCGGUUUCUUAAGUCUGAUGUGAAAGCCCACGGCUCAACCGUGGAGGGUCAUUGGAAACUGGGAAACUUGAGUGCAGAAGAGGAAAGUGGAAUUCCAUGUGUAGCGGUGAAAUGCGCAGAGAUAUGGAGGAACACCAGUGGCGAAGGCGACUUUCUGGUCUGUAACUGACGCUGAUGUGCGAAAGCGUGGGGAUCAA